GACCCUCUCUGCAGUGCCUGGCAUACAGCAGAAACUCGCUAAAUGAAGUCUGCGUGUUUCAUAUACGAAUAACUGAUUGUCAUGACCGGAGGUAAACUGAACAUCUGAAAAGGACCUAAUUAACAUUGUGCGCAAGUGAAAGAAUAAAUGAAUAAAUGAAUAAAAGAAUGAAUGAGUACGGAUGCUGAGAACUGAGAUGUGGCAUUUCCAUACUGGCAGAAGCUCCGAAAGAAACAGUCAUCACUUCCUGUCCUACUGCACGCAAUGUGUUAGGCAGUGCUUUGCUGAAAUCCAGAAUAUAAAGUUAAACUUUAUGAGUUAAAAGUUUGAACUUUUGAGCGAGAUGUAAUUAAGCACAAAUUAGUUUGUAGAAUCCUAAAUGUCAGUGCAUCUAAACAAAGUACAUCUAUGUUUAUUUGAAAGCAAAAAACGAUGACACAUUUUUAGAGAAUUAAAAUAAACUGAUCAUUGAAAUUGAAUUAAUUUUUAAUGGUAAAAUUAAUUUGAGUGAAGUAGAAAGAAUGCGGCUCAUAAUGUUUUAUUGAUGAUGCAUAAAAAUGAUCACAAGUCAUUACUCAUUCACUUGAAAGCCAGCGUUCUUCCAGGAGAAUAAAUUUCUGUUGUUUUUGUUUGAUUGGAUUUGAUUUAUAAUUGUGUUCGAUUAGGUAAUAUAAGUAAGUAUAAGAAAUGUCAAAAGGUUAAUCCUCUCAUCCUCAUCCAUUGCUACUUUAUUUUUCCUCUAGAGGCUAUUAUAGUUUCUUUUGUAUCCUUUCAGAAAGCUGUAUAUCUAUACUAUGCCUAUAAAUCUACCUAUCUAAAACCUAACCAUACACGUAGGGUAUUUAUUACUAUAAAAGUCAGCAAGAGAUGGUGGAUAAAACCUACUUUUCCACAGCUAAUUAGAAGGAUAGCAUUAACUAGAAAUACCAUUUGACCCAGCAAUCCCAUUGCUGGGUAUAUACCCAAAGGAUUAUAAAUCAUGCUACUAUAAAGACAUGUGCACACGUAUGCUUAUUGUGGCACUGUUCACAAUAGCAAAGAC
rnacentral:lncRNA from 1 species